rnacentral:rRNA from 1 species
GACGAACGCUGGCGGCGUGCUUAACACAUGCAAGUCGAACGGAAAGGCCCUGCUUUUGUGGGUUGCUCGAGUGGCGAACGGGUGAGUAACACGUGAGUAACCUGCCCUUGACUUUGGGAUAACUUCAGGAAACUGGGGCUAAUACCGGAUAGGAGCUCCUGCUGCAUGGUGUGGGUUGGAAAGUUUCGGCGGUUGGGGAUGGACUCGCGGCUUAUCAGCUUGUUGGUGGGGUAGUGGCUUACCAAGGCUUUGACGGGUAGCCGGCCUGAGAGGGUGACCGGCCACAUUGGGACUGAGAUACGGCCCAGACUCCUACGGGAGGCAGCAGGGGGGAAUAUUGCAGAAUGGGCGGAAGCCUGAUGCAACAACGCCGCGUGCGGGAUGACGGCCUUCGGGUUGUAAACCGCUUUCGCCUGUGACGAAGCGUGAGUGACGGUAAUGGGUAAAGAAGCACCGGCUAACUACGUG